ensembl:lncRNA
GUUUCAUGACGCUUUAAGGAGAAAAGACUGGAGUGGAACGAGGUGAGGGGCCCAGACACUGUGACAAGCAAAUACAAAAACAGAUAAAUAACCACAAACCAGAUGUCAGAUCCUGUUACAAACAUGUUUUAUUACUUAACUGGAAUACAUAAUCUGCUGUCGAGAUAAUCGGCAGCCUGAGGAGAGAUCUCUAGCAACAUGCACAAUGCGCUCAGCUUAAACAUGCACAAAAAGUUUGAUACUAAAAUAGGUUAGGAACAGCAGAGGCCCUACCCUGUGUUUAUCUGUGUGAGUUUAAGCCUUUUUUUUUCCCUGGCAUACACACUCAUUCUCUCACACACCUUAGACAAUGAGUACUAAGCCACUCAAACACCGUUUUAACAAAAGAUACAAAAUAAAAGCCUCCCUUUAAAGACCCAUAACUGUGCGUGUGUAAGAUUGUACUCAUGAUUAAUACUACGUGCACAUUAUUUGUGAGGUGUGUGUGUGUGUUUGUGUGUUUAAGGCCCAGGACUGUCUAGGCUUGUCUAUCUUUGGCAACAUGUAAAGAACACACUCGCAGUUUGGGAGCAUGGAGGUCGAAGUGAGGAACAGCAGUUAUGAACUUGAAGCCAAUCCACCUACAUUACACAUUUGUAAGCAUUAUGAUUUAUAAAGUAUAUACGUUAUUAUUGCAGAAUUAUGAAAAAUGGUGGAUUCGUAUUACUACUUACUGGCAUAGAUAGAUAAACACCACAAUGUGAUACCAUUCAAAAUGUUUAAAAAAGAAAAGAAAAAAAAAAACACUAAUAAUAAAAGUAACUCUCCAGGAGCGUACAAUGGAAAGAUACAAACAAUAAUAAAAAAAGUGAAAAAAAUUAAAAGGGAAUAAAAUUAAAAGAUCAACAGGCCAACUUUACAAAAUUACAAGAUAUUUUAAAUAUGUUUUUCCAAUACAAGAAUCCAAAAUAAGGAUCUUUUUCCUUAAAAAACAAAACAAAAAACAGACAAAGAAGGAGACCAUGAAAUAGAGGAAAAUUCAGAAUUCACUAUUUACCCUUUAAUUCCUGCUCUGCGCACCUCAGGUCCCCCCCACCCCCCCACCCCAAAUGUAAACAAUGUUUUAAAAAUGAAGAAAACAACACACCUUGGAAUGAUGAAGGCAAAAAGCAAAAUGGUACAUAUUCGGCACGUUUGCAGUUUGUUUUGUGUCUCUUCCAAACAGCUGAACUUUUAUUCAUUAACUUCACUUUGAGGUGGAGAAAAAACAUGUACAGACACACACACACACACACACACACACACACACACACACACACACACACACACACACACACACACUCUGUACAUUUGCUGAAAACCAAAUACGUGUAAAAAAAUUUCAGUGAGAAGGGAACCAGUGGAGUGCAAUGAGCAUGGUUAAGGGCAGAUUUAAAAAAUAAUAAUUUUGUAAACACCGCAGUGUUUUAGCAUGACCUUUACAGCUCUUUAAAGUCUACAAAGUUCAUAUCACACAAGCACCACUAAACAUCACUAAAUCUUCGUCCCCCACAAAAAAAAAAAAAAGAAAUACCUAGAACAUUUUUGAUUCACUGCACACUUAAAAUGAAGUUUGCUUUAUUAAAAAUCUCUACAGCAGCCAUUUCACAGCCGCUGAUUCUAACUGGAUGUGUUAUUGCUCAUUUCUUUAAUCCUUUCAUGGACGCGUUUUCACCUUGACUGGAGUCAUGUUCAUCAAAACGUAAUGUCUGGAAGUGUAUAAUGUUUGUAGUGAGCACAGAGAGAUAGAGAGAGAUGGAGAGAGAUGGAGAGAACACAGCAGGUUAUUCAACCAAAAUGUACAAAAGGUCCAGAUGAUGAACAUGACUGAAUGGUGACAUUUUAUAUCGCAAUCAUUAAUAAUUAGUUCAUGGCUAUAAAUCUGACAAUUUCAAAUGUUUUGUUUUGCAGUUUCACCUCACGUCAUUACCUUUUUGCCUAUUAAAGAUUUUGAACUUGACGCAAAGAAAAUCAAAGUACGCUUUUCGGUCCUCUUCCUUCUUGAUUUUGUUCUAAACAAACUAUCAGAUCAGACUGGAAACGGUAAAUAAAAUUAAAUAAAUAAAUUGUGAAAAUCUGCAAAAACCCUAAAACGUCUGUAGGUCUGUAGCUCCUCUCUUGUCUGAUGAGCUGAAUCAACUUUACAUAAAUGCAUGUGAUUAAAUGCAACAAGCUACAACCGGAGCUGCUUUUCAAGGUUGAAUGACAGUCAGCGGGAAAAUAACCCCCAAGCAUCCUAGUUUCACCAAAAAAACUUCCAGUUUCCAGAACAGUCUAAUGGAGAAGACUGGAGAGAGGAGUAAUGCUGGUCCAUGUUUGUUGUGUUUAACGGGUUUUUCCCCCCGUUUCAAAAUAGACACAAAAGAAGCCAAUGCUUUAUUUGCCUUUAAAACAAGAAAUAUUAUUUAUAGCUCUUGUAUUUUUUUUAAUUUCAUAUGGGGCUAAAGAUUUGGAUCAGCAAUGACUGCGAAACUAGUAGCGUGAAGGGUAAGUUCAAGAUUUCUUGAUGUACUGCUAAUAUGGAUCACUACAUUCUUUAAAAAAAAAAAAAAACCACAUGGCGGUUGGGGGGAAAUAAGCAGCAUUUUUCAGGUGUUGCAAUUUAAGAACAUUUUAAUCAUCCCAAAAUUUAUUUCUGCAUAUAUUCUUCCCAUUAUCAUCAGAUCUUUUAUAUUAAGCAGAAAACCUACUACAUAAUAUUACAUCAUAACCAGAGAAUUGCGUGUAAAAUAGUGCUACUGGUACUUCCAGGACGCCUCUGUUCACGCUGUAUUUUUUUCAUAUCUGGAUUAAUGAUGUGUGAUUUCUAGACUUUGUGCAGUGAAACUAGUAGAAAAAAUUGCAACUGUUAAUUAGAAAUACUUUGUUUCUUAUUUUAGCGCAAAAAUAAAAUGAAAAGCUGCUUCCUUGCCCCCCUAAUGUUCAUUUUGAACAUGUAAUAAAUAUACAAAUAAAAAUGAAUGAAUGCACAACACUUUCAGCUGUGUAUAAAGACACUAGAUAAUCAGCUACAGCAUUAGGAUACAGUUUUAAUCCAGCUCUUUAAAAAUACCUUUUAUUACAAACCACAAACACUACAGCACUGAACAAUCAUGACACCGAGACAGAUUUAUACCAUUAGCGCAGUGCACUCAUGAUGUUCCCUACAUACUAUUUUAAAGCCACCUUCAGCAUUAUACAGCUCCUGUUUUUAAAACACUAGUUUGGCCGACACACUUCAGCCUGGCUGGCUCCAAACCUACAGUGACCAGAAUGAACAUGACAUCCUGACAAGCCCCUGCAUGCAGCCUAAGUGUUCUCUCUUUCUAAACGGUGCCUCCUCCCCCAAAAAUAUUUAUCACAGCUCAAAUGACAGUGCAGUCAACCUGUGGAAAUUGCUUCAGCUACACUGUUGUGGGUUUACCUGUUCAUCAAUUGCACCGUCAUUUUAGCAGCCAAUAAAACAAUCUCGAGGACACUGUUGUGGAUUUACAGGUGUUUCUGUUUGGGGAGGGGGAUUGGUGGGGCGGGGGGGUGCUAGUGUCUCACAGCAACCAGAAAAACCCCAACACAGCAAUUGGAGUCAGUUGAGGCCAUCAGCAUUGUGGAAUUUCAGAAAACGUGUCAAAACGUGUUUGGUAUAAGCUUUUUUUUUUUUUUGGGGGGGUCUGGAGAUCUCUCCUGCCACAAACAGCACUCUCAAACACACACGCACGCACACACACACACACUCUCUUGUUGUCUUACAAACUUUUGUGGUUGAUGCGAUCUAUGCAAGACAUCUUUAAACAAAAAAAAAAGAGGAUUAUUUCUGCAUAUUUUUAACAAUGUGUGGGAAUUGGAAAUGUAACUUUCUUGACUAAUUAUUUUAAGUGCAAUAAGCGCUCAAAUGUCUAGACGAAGACCAUCUACGUGACAGCAGAAGCGGACGGUGCUGGAAUGGGAAACACUGGCCAUGAUGGCACAAGAUAUGAUACUUAAUGAUAAUGACUUGAACUGGGUUCCUCUUAAAGAGAUAAGACGAAGAAAACUGGUAUACACACAGCAAGGCGGGAUGGUAUCGACAUUUUGAGCAGAAUCUGUUAGACAGACAGACAGACAGACACAGAAAGACACAUCCCAUGAAUCCAGUGAAAUCUGGAUCGACCUUUCAGGGACUAGAGGACAGUGGACCCACAACUGCAAUCAUUUUUUGCGUUCGGUUACAAGACGCAUGUUCAUAACAGCAUUUCGGUAUGUUAAACAAAAAUAAUAAUAAUAAUAAUAAUAAUAAUAAUAAUAAUCUGAAGCUGAAGAAGACAACGACGAACCUGAUCAGUGCUCAUUUUCAGAGUACAUGCUCUGUCCAAUCACAGUAGCUGCUGUAAUAUCGAACACCCUUCUUAUCCAAUCAGAGCUCAGGGCUUGUGACAUCACUGCAACCCGUGUCAGCAGGUAGCGCGUGAACAUGCAAAUGGAUUGUGAUGCUUUUUUUUCCGUUUGCAGUGCUGAAGUGCUGUCCCGUUCCUGCAGCAAUGCACCAUGGGAGGGAGCAAAGUGGUUCAGGUGGUUCAACCUUUGUGUAGUGGGAAUAAAACCACCAUUCCACUUUCUCUUUAUGCCUUGUUCCUGUCUGUGCAAAGCGUGCAAGUGUGUGUGUGUAUACAAGUUCCACUCUGAGCAACCAAACCACCCAGGUAUCCAGUUUCUUACACAUAUAUUUAUCUACAAGACUGAUGAUUGGACCGUGAUCCCGCUCCGUAACCCUGCGCUGUUUGAGAAGCAGCUUGUCUACGAGAAAAAAAGAACAAAAAAAAAAAAGUCAUGCGUUUAGUGCUGGCUGCCAUUUUCUGAAACAGAAGUGAGCAAAAAAUGAAGAAAUGUGUUUUUUUUUUUUUUUAAAAACGGGACACUAUGGCACCGUGAAGGUUGAUGCAGACAAAAACAUGUACACAUGGAUAUUAAAAGAUCCUUUGUGAGCACGAAUAGGGAUUAUUUCUGUUUUCCUGCUGGAUAUUUGUGUGUGCAAAGCUGUGCGUUCGCAUGAUGAUCCUGGGUUGUGCAAGAAUACGACAAAAUUCCUGAUCAUGAGGGGGCAAGAAAAGAAAAAAAAGAAAAAAAAGAAAAAUUCACAAGCAUAGAUUCUAUUAGAUACAGGAUGCUCCUCUCUGUAACACGUAGUCCCAAAGCUCAGGUGUCCAACAUCACUUCCAGAGUAGAGAUGAUAACAGGGAUCCACCCUAAACUAUGUAAAAUCUCAGCAGCACUUCCCUCUGCUCCUCAGUUUCCACAUCCCUCUCUUCAAGCAUGCGUCCAGUCCCGGGCACACACGGGAGCAGCUGUGGGAGAGGCCAGGAUCAGGUGAGGGGAGGUGUAAGAAGAGCUAGGAGAGUUCAAGUGCAGCUUGGAGAUGUCUGAGCAUUGAGAUGCAGCGGAGACUAAACACGAGAGCGAUUUCUCACAUGGGACCUGUGUAGAACAAGGUGCAAAAUUCAGUCACACAAAAGCAAUUAAAAUCUUAAGUAAUUUAAACUACACUAGGGGCCGUAUUCAGAGUUUAGCUGCGCUUGCAUGACAUAUAAAUCAUAAAUGUGUCACUAUGUCAUCAUAG